rnacentral:rRNA from 1 species
CUGAAUGCACCUGGUCUCAUCUGAUCUCAAAAGCUAGUCAG